GUGGGGAAUAUUGGGCAAUGGGGGCAACCCUGACCCAGCGACGCCGCGUGAGGGAAGAAGGCCUUCGGGUUGUAAACCUCUGUCCUUGGUGACGAAACAAAUGACGGUAGCCAAGGAGGAAGCCCCGGCUAACUACGUGCCAGCAGCCGCGGUAAUACGUAGGGGGCGAGCGUUGUCCGGAAUUACUGGGCGUAAAGGGUGCGUAGGCGGGUUGAUAAGUCAGUGGUGAAAGCUCCGGGCUUAACUUGGAAACUGCCAUUGAUACUGUCAGUCUUGAAUGUCGUAGAGGUAAGCGGAAUGUUGCAUGUAGCGGUGAAAUGCUUAGAUAUGUUACAGAACACCAAUUGCGAAGGCAGCUUACUAUGCGAUAAUUGACGCUGAGGCACGAAAGCGUGGGGAGCAAACAGGAUUAGAAACCCUUGUAGUCC
rnacentral:rRNA from 1 species